rnacentral:rRNA from 1 species
GAACGCUGGCGGCACGCCUAACACAUNCAAGUCGAGCGAGACCUUCGGGUCUAGCGGCGGACGGGUUAGUAACGCGUGGGAACGUACCUUUUGCUUCGGAAUAGCCUCGGGAAACUGGGAGUAAUACCGAAUGUGCCCUUUGGGGGAAAGAUUUAUCGGCAAAAGAUCGGCCCGCGUCUGAUUAGAUAGUUGGUGGGGUAAUGGCCUACCAAGUCNGCGAUCAGUAGCUGGUUUGAGAGGAUGAUCAGCCACACUGGGACUGAGACACGGCCCAGACUCCUACGGGAGGCAGCAGUGGGGAAUNUUNGACAAUGGGCGCAAGCCUGAUCNAGCCAUGCCGCGUGAGUGANGAAGGCCUUAGGG